rnacentral:rRNA from 1 species
UGGGGAAUAUUGGACAAUGGGCGCAAGCCUGAUCCAGCCAUGCCGCGUGAGUGAUGAAGGCCUUAGGGUUGUAAAGCUCUUUUAUCCGGGACGAUAAUGACGGUACCGGAAGAAUAAGCCCCGGCUAACUUCGUGCUAGCAGCCGCGGUAAUACGAAGGGGGCUAGCGUUGCUCGGAAUCACUGGGCGUAAAGGGCGCGUAGGCGGACAUUUAAGUCAGGGGUGAAAUCCCGGGGCUCAACCUCGGAAUUGCCUUUGAUACUGGGUGUCUCGAGACCGGAAGAGGUAAGUGGAACUGCGAGUGUAGAGGUGAAAUUCGUUGAUAUUCGCAAGAACACCAGUGGCGAAGGCGGCUUACUGGUCCGGUUCUGACGCUGAGGCGCGAAAGCGUGGGGAGCAAACA